rnacentral:rRNA from 1 species
GGAAUCUUCCACAAUGGACGAAAGUCUGAUGGAGCAACGCCGCGUGAGUGAAGAAGGGUUUCGGCUCGUAAAGCUCUGUUGUUAAAGAAGAACGUGGGUAAGAGUAACUGUUUACCCAGUGACGGUAUUUAACCAGAAAGCCACGGCUAACUACGUGCCAG